AUUAAGUUUAAUUUAAUAUAGGAUCUGCUCAAUGAUUUAUUAAAUAGCUGCAGUAUUUUGACUGUGCAAAGGUAGCAUAAUAAUUAGUCUUUUAAUUGAGGACUUGUAUGAAAGAUUUGAUGAGAAAUAAACUUUAUUAUUUAUAUAAUUAAAAUUUUAUUUUUAAGUAAAAAAGCUUAAAUUAUUUAAAGGGACGAUAAGACCCUAUAAAACUUUAUAAAUAUUAAUUUUAAUUUUUUUGGAUUAUAAAUAUUUUAAUUUUAUUAUUUAUUUUAUUGGGGUGAUAAAAAAAAUUAUUAAACUUUUUUUAAAAUUUUACAUUAUUUAAUGGAUAUUUGAAUUAAAAUUUUUAAUUAAAGGAAAAAGUUACUUUAGGGAUAACAGCGUAAUUAAUUUUUUAAGUUCAAAUUUAAAAAUUAGUUUGCGACCUCGAUGUUGAAUUAAGAUUAAUCUUAGGUGCAAAAUUUUAAGUAUUAGGUCUGUUCGACCUUUAAAUUCUUACGUGA
rnacentral:rRNA from 1 species